GUUAAUGUAGCUUACAUCAAAGCAUAGCACUGAAAAUGCUAAGAUAGAUUUUAAGACAUCUCAUGAACA
rnacentral:tRNA from 1 species